UGCGCAGGUGGUGGCGUAAGUCGGAUGUGAAAUCUCGGAGCUCAACUCCGAAAAGGCAUUGGAAACUGCGUUGCUAGAGGGGUUGGGAGGGGGGACUGGAAUGCUUGGUGUAGCAGUGAAAUGCGUAGAUAUCAAGCGGAACACCAGUGGCGAAGGCGAGUCCCUGGACAACACCUGACACUGAGGACACCGAAAAGGGCUAGGGGAAGCAAACA
rnacentral:rRNA from 1 species